ensembl:lncRNA
CAUUCCAUUUCUACUAUAAUCACACAUUUAAAAUUAUAUAACUUGACAAGUCACUGGCAUAACCAGUAAAAUUAUAAAUAAUGAAAGUAGAUCCUUGCUGUGAGUGUUUAUUAUGAGGCACUUUUGUUUCAUUUACUUUCUUUCUCCCACCUAAAACUCUCAGAAGAGGCUUGGAACACAGGAGGCAAUGCCACACCCUUAGCCAUAAUGCUUUAUCACCUUGGCAAUUAGAUAAGAGAACCUUCAAAAAAUAAUGUUUGAAGAUUUUUGUCCUUUGGUCUUCUCUGAAUGAAUAUGUGUAAUAAGAGGAAAAGUAUUUAAAACACAUAUGAGGGGGAAAAAUAACCUACAAGAGAGUUAAUUAAGAAAGAUUAUUUUCAAAAGCAAAAGCUCCUAGCUUUUAACUAAUUCAUCAUAGAGAUAAAGCAAUACAGUUUCAUGCCUCAUAACAAUUUAAUAAAUAUUACUAAAAUAUGGCAGCUGCCACCACGACUCAUUAGCAAGCUGUUUGUGUAAUAUAAAGUUAUCCAGAAUUGUUUUGGGGAGUUGGUUUGUCAAUGUAAUACACACAGUAAUCUCUGAAGAAAGUCAGGAACAUAUGGUCCCUGCUCAUCAGCUAACCCCCGGGAAUUGCACCAGAAUAUCUCUCCUUACAGCUCCAUGACAUUGAGAGGAGAGAUGGAGAGAAGAUAGAGGGAAAAAGAGUUGUGGGAAGAGAAACACUGAUUACUCAAACUGUAAAAUCACACUCGGAAGCAUAAAUCAGGAAUCACAGAGUUAACAUCUUCAAGAAAUCUGCUCAAAUACAAGUUGAACAUUGCAGGAUUGGAAGUUUUCAGAAUAUAAAUUCUGAAUCUUGGCACACAGUUAAAUUAAUCAUUUCAGCAACCGCAGUAAAAUGCUGCAUCUAUAGCCUGCUACUGGCCAACAGAGAUGAGUUGAAUGCCAUCUAUUUAUCAAAAUCAACAUUCCUUUGAACAUAUUUUCAAUGUUUUAAAUUCUGAAGUUUACAUACAUAUUAAACCAUCUCUCUCAAAAGAAAUACGAUAUAUUUUUUAAUUUAAAGGGCCUAUCUUAUCCCAAUUAAAUCUGUUUGAAUAGGAAACUGUAGAGUUAACAUCUGUCGAUGAUCAUUUAUGUAUAAGUAGAAUUAUGUACUUUAAGGAUUAUGUUUAUUUAAUAAUCAUCUCUGCUCACUGGAAUUGGGUGAUCAGAAAUUUUUUUCAUUCAGAAAUAUACAACCAGUAAAUUUUGAGUAACUCUAACAGUGCAGGAAAAGGCCUGUUAUUAGUUGGAACAGAAAAAUGAUAAAUCAGUACUGUGCCUGCUGGAGAAUCUUUAUAAUGGAAAAAUUAUCUCAGGGCCGUGGGUCAUUUGAAAAUAUGUCUUUAUAACAAUUUCAUAAGCAAAUGUAAUUAAUAAAAAAGCAAGGAUAUAUACUUAAAAUAGAUGAAUGUGAUAUGUUUGUAAUCCUUUCACAUAAAAUUUGGAUUAUUUCAGGGAGGAGUGGGAUUAAGCUAUAUCUAUAUUGACAUUGAUAUAGACAUUUUAUAAAGAAAAAUUAUCUGAGAAAGUAAAUCACCUGAGGAGCAACAGAGAGAAAACUGAAAUAUGACCACAACAUAUGCAGACUAGAGGCUUUGUAUAGAGAAAAAGAGAAUGUUAAAUUUGCCAAAUAUAAAGAUUUUAAAGAUAGAGUUAAUAUUACAUUUAUUUAGGCAUCUGAAGCUCGGUCAGACUCUUCUCAAUGAGUCUAUUUUAAGGUGACGUUAUUAAAGGCUUGCUUCCAUCUCACAGAAAUUAUUUGAAGUUGUUUUAUGUGGAAACAGCCUGCCUCAUGUGAUUGCACUCUGAAACACUCCAGCUAGAAGGCGGCUAUGUGACUUGAAAUUUAAAUAUAAAACAAAUUCAAUCAGGUGCCAGGGCGCCAGCCUGCUGGGUGGCCAUAUUGGGAAGAGGGGGAAGUGAAGGGCAGGGGGUUGAAUGGAGAUUGGGAUGUGAAAGGGAAGACUUCAAACUUUGGGGGUGGAAGAGCACAGGGUGCUUCAAGAAGCAGUGUGUCAAACUGAAUAAUUCAUGAUGCAGUACUAAUUUCGACUCUGGAGAAAAUUGCUCUCUCACUAUGCCAAAAGCUAGGCAGCGAGACCAAAAAUCAAAGAGGAUGCUAAAUGGAAGGGGAGAAAACACCCCGAAUCAACACAAUAUCAAAUUGCCAACCUGUUUAAGGUUGCAAGCAUUGUCAAAACACAUGAAUACACAUUCUAAACCUUACCUAAAAUUGAGCAUUCGUAUUUAUGCACAUACUGAUUUGUAUGUAAUAAUAGGUAAAUAUUUUAUAAUUAUCUUCAAAAAUAGCUCCUUGGUAUUAAUGCAGAGACUUCCAGUAAGGAAAUAAGCAUUUGUGUUUUUCAUUGCCACUUGCUAAAAACAAACUGCAUGUCUCAGCAUAGUGUAAUGGACCCAGCUUCAUUUUGUACUUACACAAUCAUGUGAGUGCCAGAAAUGACCUUUUGAGUUAAUUAACAAAGCUGCCAUAAAUAUGGAACUUGAUAAAUGUUAAUAUUUAUUGGAGUCCUAAAAUCCAGAUGGUCUUCUUUCACAUUUCCUUAGUAGAUGGAAUUAAAUGAGUGCUUAUAAAAUACAACCUUAGGCAUUACAUCACCUGUACCCUUAAUUCUGUUCUUUAAUGAGUAGAAUGAAGUAUGAGUAUCUCUCAAGACAAAAUACUGAUUCAAUUUCAAGCCAUUAACUAAGCUUUAAACUAAAAGGAUUUCUGUUCAAAUAUAACAAAAUUUAGAAAUCUGGCCCUUCAUUUCUUUUUCUUUAAAGAAUCCUUUAAAAAGAGUUCAAACAGUUGUUUAGAGGUCAAUGCAGAAUGUUAAGUUAAUGAAGAUGUUUGAGGUGACGUCUUUCUCCUCUUCUGUCCUUUUGUUUGUUUUGCUUUCCGAGGAAAAGCCAGAUUUGGCUCCAGGGAGUAGAAAGAUGUCCUUGGCAGAAAAAUGCCACCCCAUAAGUGGCUGAACGAGAGUGAGUGUUUUGCACACUCACAGGUAGCUAAGAGAGUCUCCUGAGACAGAGCAAGGUUUCUAAAAAUCACCUUCUUGCAAAGAUGAGGGAUUUUCCUUAGUGGUUGGCACUACUCUAUGGGGCUGCUGAGAUCACAUUCUUCAGGACUGGCUGGAAAUGAUAGUUAGUUAAACUAAGUCUAGGAGGCCAUCAGAAAUCUUGUAAAAUUCAACUGACUGUGCACAGCCUUCCAAAAUUCAUUUGGCCAUUGCUAUGGCCCCUAGUAUGGCAUAGUAUUUAAUUUGUCUUAGUAUAGAUUUUGGACACAGGAUAGCAAGCUGGCUGCACAGAGCAUAUUUUGGAGGUGCUGUAACACACCUCUUCCUCUGAAGUGCAGCACCUUGAGCCCCUUUACCAAGGACCUACUGGGUGACAGAGAGUGCUAUGUUUGUCAGGAUGCUUGCUUGCUGUCUGCUUUUUGGUGCCUGCAAUUGAUGAUCACCAUGUGGGUCAGUAUGCAGGAGGGGCUUGUGGAGAGAUAUGGAAGACAUGGCAUCUCGUUCUAGGUCCUCCAUGUGCUACCUCUUCAGUUUUGUACAAGUCACUUUCAUUUGCUUGGCUUCAUUUCCUCAU